UCUAAGUAGUAACUAUACCGCAUAAUUAAAUAUGUUUGCCGACGUAAGAUAACAAACAGUCUUGCGUAGGACCAUACUACGACCUUGAAAGCAUGGUUUUCUGGGGGUUAAAAGUUCGUAAGAUGGUCCUACGGAUGUCUGCCAUCUUACUUUGGUAAAAUAGAUUUUACAAUAUAUAUUCCAUUUGAAAUAUAUGUUUAUGCAUAUAUGUGUGUGUAUAAAUUUAUACAUAUAUAUAUAUAUAGACAAUGUUUAUACAUAUUUAUAUACAAAUAUCUAUAUAUAUUCGUUAUAUCUAGACCUGUAUGUAUACAUGUGUAUAUACACUUAUACACAUAGGAAUGUAUGUCGGUGUGUAUGUUUGAAUAUGUAUGUAUAUUUAUUUAUAUACAUUGCUAUGUCUCUCUCUCUGUUCUUAUGAAUAUAUAUGUAUGUAUGUAUAUAUAUAUAAAUAUGUAUAUAUAUAUAAAUAUACAUGCAUAUAUAUAUAUACACACAUACAUACAUAUGUAUACUGUUCAUAUGAAUAUAUAUAUAUGCAUGCAUAUAUAUAUAUAUAUAUAUAUAUAUAUAUAUAUAUACAUAUAUAUAUAAAUAUACAUAUAUGUGUGUGUGUUCGUGCGUGUGAGUGAAUAUGUGUUUGAAUGUGUACCUCUGUAUUCAUGUAUUUGAAACAUAUGUCUAUGUGUGCGCACUCACACACACACACACACACACACACACACACACACACACACACACACACACAGACACACAUAUAUGUAUAUAUAUAUAUAGUUUUACAUUGAUAUAUACAUAUAUUUGUAUAAAUGCAUAUGUGCAUAUCCUUACAUAUACUUACACACACACAUACUGACACGUACGCACACAUACACCCAUAUACUAAGGCGGCUGAGUUGGGCGAAAUGCUUAGCGGUAUUUCGUCUGUCGUUACGUUCUGAGUUCAAAUUCCGCCGAGGUCAACUUUGCCUUUCAUCCUUUCGGGGUCGACAAAUAAAGUACCAGUUUCGCACUGGGGUCGAUAUAAUCGACUCAAUCCCUUCGUCUGUCCUUGUUUGUCCCCUCUAUGUUUAGCCCCUUCUGGGCAGUAAAGAAAUAUAUACUAUGGCAGCUCAAACCUAUAAAUGUACUUUACUAAGAACAUUUAUGUACGCUAGUUAUUAGAACAACGAAAAUGUUCUUAUCCCUUUGAUAACUCUUGUUCUUGUUAUGAUCUGAAGCCUUUAUCUUUGUAUAGGGCUGCUGUGUUUGCGCUCUAUUUUGGGGCUGGACUAUACAAGGGAUGUAUGAAAAAGUCUUCAGACUUAAAAAAACAAAGCAUGAAACAAGACUUCUGAUGAAGGUACAAGAUUUCAAGGCUCCACAGGCCUUGAAGGCUCAAAACUUUUCAUACACCCCUCGUAGUUUAGGAACCUUUCUUGUGCCUGCUUUGCCUCGCAUAAUGGGGGUCAGGACUAUAUUGCUGGUCAGUUUUGUAAGUUGUUCUAUGCCUCACGUAUAUGGCCAGCUGUCUACUGCUGGCCAUAUACGUAAUAAUAAUAAUAAUAAUAAUAAUAAUAAUAAUAAUAAUAAUAAUAAUAAUAAUAAUAAUAAUAAUGAUAAUAACAUUUUUUUUAGACAUCCACUAGUACAACGCUAAAAAAAAAACAACCAAAUAUAUGGCACACUAGGCAUAACAACAACGUGAACUUCCAACCAGUUGUCUCUUGAGGUCUCUGGGUGAGACUUGGAGCCAACUUGUACAAAUAUAAAGCAAAAGUAAAACAUAGAAUAAUAAUAAUAAUAAUAAUAAUAAUAAUAAUAAUAAUAAUAAUAAUAAUAAUAAUAAUAAUAUAUAAUAAUAAUAUUUAAUAAUAAUAAUAAUAAUAAUAAUAAUAAUAAUAAUAAUAUUUAAUAAUAAUAAUAAUAAUGAUAAUAAUAAUAAUAAUAAUAAUAAUAAUAAUAAUAAUAAUAAUAAUAAUAAUAAUAAUAAUAAUAAUAAUGAUAAUAACAUUUUUUUAGACAUCCACUAGUACAACACAAAAAAACCUACCAAAUAUAUGGCAUACUAGGCAUAACAACAACGUGAACUUCCAACCAGUUGUCUCUUGAGGUCUCUGGGUGAGACUUGGAGCCAACUUGUACAAAUAUAAAGCAAAAGUCAAACAUAGAAUAAUAAUAAUAAUAAUAAUAAUAAUAAUAAUAAUAAUAAUAAUAAUAAUAAUAAUAAUAAUAAUAAUAAUAAUAAUAAUAAUAAUAAUAAUAAUGAUGAUAAUAAUAAUAAUGAUAAUAAUAAUAAUAAAUAAUAAUAAUAAUAAUAAUAAUAAUGAUAAUAAUAAUAAUAAUGAUAAUGAUGAUAAUAAUAAUGAUAAUAAUAGAGUCGAGUAUAAGGUAUAGUGUCGUGUAGAUCUGGUGCAGUAUAUAUUGUGUUGCCCGGAAAGUUCGUGCCGAUUUUUAAAGGAAAGAAAAAGGUCAAGAAAUAGUUGCCAUUAAAUUUUUAAUCAACCAAAUAUAAACCAUUUUGUUGCACAAUGCGUCUCCAUCUUUCCUUUAACUUGAAAAUACCCUCUUCCCAGAAUUGAGGUGGUCUCAUGGCGAAGAAUUAAUCAAGGUAUCUUUUUACGUCGUCCAAGGAAUUGAAAUUUCUACCAUGAAGACUAUUUUCUGCAGAGACCUGAAUAAGUGGAAAUCUGAAGGAGCAAUAUCUGGUGAAUGUGGAGGGUGGGGUAACAUCCCAGCCGAGCUGAAGCAAUUUUUGUUUGGUUCCCAAAGCAUCAAGUGCCGAAAAUGAACUUUUUUAUCUUCCAUUUUAAAGGGUUACAGAAUUAACACAGUUUAUAGGAACAUAAACCUUCUUCCACGAAAAGAUAGCAUAAACUGUGCUCUAAAUGGAGGUGUAGUGAAAUCCUAUUUUACGGACUCAACCAUGUUCUAAAAUAUGUGUAUAGGUAAGCUACUGUAAAUCGGCACGAACUUUCCGGACAACCCAAUAUAUACCACAAACACCUCUGGUAUAUUACAAAGGGCUAUGAUAUUGUAUAGAAGAUCUAGUAUACAAAAUAUAGUGACGUAUAGAACGUGCAGUAAUGUAGUGUAGGAGAUCUGGUGUUCUGUAGUAAGAAUAGUGUUCCAUAGAACGUAUGAUGUUAAAUGCUAUUUAUUCCUAGAUAAGCUUUGAGAAACAUGUGAUAAAAGGAAUUCCAGCUAUGACCAUCCACCCUGGAACAACGUUGAAAAAUAUUAUUCAACGUGUUCAUCAUUACUUAGAGUAGUGGAGAUAGAUUUGAUGAUGGUUUCGUUGCUAUUUCUAACAAGCCAAGUGUCUAUAUUGAGCUUCUUGUUAGCUUGAAAAUGUAGAUUUUGUUAAGAAUCUUUAGUGCCGUAUUGUCUUUAAGAUGGAAUUUUACAGAUUAACCACUGUAAGGAUUUGGGAAUAGAAAUCUCAAGAUUUUGGUCGUUGAAGUAGUUCUCGAUGCUCUUGGGAGAUUUAAUAGACAUUAAUACAAAGAGGCACCGAGCAAUAUGGUAACCUGGUAAACAUACGCUGUACGAAAUUCGAAGAAUUUUCUUCAACAUCAGUUCAUACAACAAUUCUAAAGGAGACAGUAAAGAAGUCACUGCAUAGGUGCUUGUUUUUGCUAGAAAUAACAGUUAAAUUUUUCUCUGAUCGCCGCUUAUCAUACUGGAAAGAAAUAAAAGACACUUUUGAUAGUAAUAUAUUUUUUCCUGCUUACACCAUGCUUGAAGAGAAAUUACGGGAUGGUCACUAGUGGAUUGCUUUUAUUCAUAUGUAUGAACGUUCGAUCAAAGCUGGUUGGCUGAGCUGGGAUUAAAUAACAACAACAACCACAACAAUAACUACGAGAACUGCAGCAACCGUUUUGACAUAAAUUUCCUAUGGUUCAGAGACAGGCGUGGAGGCGCAAUGACCCAGUGGUUAAGGCAGUGGACCCGCGGUCGGAGGAUCGCGGUUUCGAUUCCCAGACCCGGCGUUGCAUGUGUUUAUCGAGCGGAAAAAAAACUAAAAGCUCCACGAGGCUCCGACAGGGGGUGGCGGCGACCCCUCUUGUACUCUUUCGCGCCAACUUUCUCUCUCACUCUUUUUUCCUGUUUCCUGGGUAACGUUGCAUUGGACUGGCGUCCCGUCCAGCUGUGGGGGAACACAUACGCCACAGAAACUGGGAAACUGGGCCCAUGAGUAUGGCUAGGCUUGAAAAGGGCGCAUAAAUAAAAUAAGAGACAGGCGUAGGCAUUGCUCUGUGGUUGACAAGCUCGCCUUUACAGUCAUAUGGCUUCCGGUUCAGUCCCACCAAGUUGCACAUGAGGCAAGUGUCUAAUGAAUUGGUGUAAAUUCCACAUUGAGAGCGCAGUUUAAGAAAAGAAAUUUUCGUCGCACACUUGUUUAUUCUAAAAUGUGAACUGUUACCUAUUGUUUAUAUUUUUUAUAUCAACAAGUAAAUAAUCUCAAUUUUGAUACGAAAUUGGAGUCAUGAUCUACCCAUCUAUAAUACGCCGGUGCUCUAGGUUUAAUAAAUCUUAACACGGUGUAUUAACACCACCAUUUUCAUACCGGAGACGGAAACAAUUGCACAGAGCUAGACUCGAACCUUCAAUCCCAAUGAAUGCAGUACUGUAGUGGUCCCAAUGAGAUACAAGUUCUACAAAAUAUCAGUAAUGACAGUGAUAUGUGUGUGUGUGCCUGUGCACAAAAUACAUAAAUACAUAAAUAUUUACUUGUGUAUAUAUAUAUAUAUAUAUAUAUAUAUAUACUUGUGUAUCUCGUGUGUACCGUUGGCGAUUUUUUCCCUCUGUCUUCCCUUCUCUGGAUCUUUCCUUCUCCUAUGUUUCCGACGAUGAGCUCCGCUCGAAACGUUAAAUCCUCCUUCUUUCCUUCUUUCCUGAGCGUCCAAUAACACUAUAUUUGUUCCACAUCCUCGUGUUGUUGUAUUUUUUUGUGCUUUCUUGUUUGGAUUAACUAUAUAUAUAUAUAUAUAUAAAAUUAUAAUUUAGGGUAUCUAAGAGAUACCACCACGCUGGAAAUAGCAGCCAAAACGUGACUCUAAAGCCUUUCAUACCACAUUAAAUGUUCAUAUAGCACCAGGAGAGAAGAAAAAGAGACAAAAUAAACAAGCCCCAAAAUAAUAAAAUUUAUAUACCAAUUCAUAUAUAUGUAUAUAUAAUAUAUAUAUAUGUGUGUGUGUGUGUGUGUGUGUGUGUGUGUGUGUGUGUGUGUGUGUGUGUGUGUGUGUGUGUGUGAGUGCGUAUGCAUAUGUUUGUGUGUGUAUACAUGUGCGAUUGUGGGCUUAUCUCUCUCUUUUGUCCUUCGUCCUAUGAGUGUCUGUGUUUCUGUGCAUAAAUAACGAAUCUUUUACUUUCACAGAAAGAAAUCACUCCGAUCAGAUUGUUAAUGUAUACGAUAAAAGUAGGUAAUAUUACACAAUGAAGAGAUUUCCUCAGGGACCGCUAUUAUUAAAUGCUGGUGAACAUGUGCGAAUAUGCGCGCACUCACAACACUCCGUUAUAUGUUGGAUAGAAACACAUUUUUCAAGCUCUCUUAUUACCAUUCAAUUUCAAUAUUAGCGAUAUUUUCAGUCAGCAGAAUAUAUUUAGCUUUAUCUUUUGAGACAAUAUGGCUUCCUACUAAAUAAUGAUCGUGACGUAAGUCUAUCUAAAUAUGUAACCGAAGUUCGUGAUGACAUUUGGGGCCAAUCUAAAAUAAUAGUAAUGAUAAAAUUCUGUUUUAAAUUUCGUUUUUGGAUUUGGUUUGCAAGAUUCUUUAUAUGAGUUCGUGUGUUGAAGCAUAUUCUGUUGUGUCUGGGGAGAGUCAUUUUCUUUUUGUGCUUUAUAAUGUAACACACUCGCCGGUAAAAUUUCCACUUUUUUCUUAUUUUUUAUUUGUUUAAAUAUUUUUAAAUUUAAUUUUUUUUUUUUAAUUUGAAUAACUUUGAAGAUGGCGAGCGGGAAGAACCGUUUGCACGCCACGCAAAAUGCUUAGCAGCAUUUUCGCCCGAAUUUACGUUCUGAGUCGAAAUUCCGCCGAGGGCAACUUGGCUUUUCAUCCUUCCGGGGUCAACAAAAUAAGUACGUGUUGAGGACAGGGGUGGAUGUAAUCGACUUACACCUUUCCCCAAAAUUGCUGGCUUUGUGCAAAAAUUUUGAACCACUAUAUUUGAAUAACUGUGAAGUUCAUUGUUCAUUCUUAACCCUAUCUUUGCUGCAAAUGUCAUAGAUCUAAACGGUUUCAUUCACACAAGCCAUCAUCUUUAAACUGACGUCAGCUUCUUUGUCACUUCCACACACUACUCAAAUUUGCGUUGAAUUUUUCAUGUUAGAAUCUUUAUAACUACAAAUAAGUGUUAAAGGAAUGAAAUAUUAUUCACGUAUAUACUAUUGUAUAAAGUUCCCAGUAUUCAUAUAAAUAUUUAAAAGUUAAUUCAUUAUUUAAUUAUUUCGAUACCAGGAAAUCUAAAAAUGGCAGAAAUUCAAAAGAUAGUGAUCAUGGGAACUGUCCAUAUCCUACGUAAAAUACUGUUUGUGUAAUCUCAAAUUUUAAACUUAUUAUUUUCUUAUGUUUUCUUAAACCUUCUCUAGAAUGUGCAAAACCAAAUUUAUGGCACCAACAUGAACUUCUAACUUGUUGUCUCUUGAGUUCAAAGUCAAACAAUAAUAAUAAUAAUAAUGAUAAUAAUAAUAAUAACAAUAAUAAUGAUGAUGAUGAUGAUGAUGAUGAUGAUUAUGAUGAUGAUAAUAAUAAUAAUAAUAAUAAUAAUAAUAAUGAUGAUGAUGAUGAUGAUGAUGAUGAUGAUAAUAAUGACAACAACAAGAAUAAUAAUAAUAAUAAUAAUAAUAACAAUAAUAAUAAUAAUAAUAAUAAUAAUGAUGAUGAUGAUGAUGAUAAUAAUAAUGACAACAACAAAAAUAAGAACAAUAAUUAUAAUAAAUAAAUGAAUAAAUAAAUAAAUCUAUCUAUCUAUCUGCUUAUCUGUCUGUCUCUCAUCUCUCUCGCUCUCUCUAUCUCUAUCUAUCUGUCUAUGAUGGUUGUCCACUUGUAAACGACGAAGACCUUCACUAACCAUUGAUCAUGCAAAAUGCCAGCUAUGCCCGUGCACGACGUUAUUGCACCACCAGUCAGCUUCACCUCAUUUCGCGUCCUCGGUAUCCAUGCUCGUCGCGGCGCCUUCCUACUCGACGCACGCACCCAGAAUAGUCGUCUCACAGGCGAUUGUACAACCUGAAAUUUUAGGUCCAAUAAGGCUUGCACUGCACGUCACAGACCUUCUCCAUCCUACGGACAUGGUCCAGAGGGUGUUAUGUCUUUCCGCCCGACGUCACUUCGUCAUACAUCUUUCCGUCCACGUCUUUUCGUCCGACGUCUUUUUGUCCGAUGAUUUUUUUGUCCAACGACAAAUCCUAUCAAUAAAAUCCUCCAUGAUCAUUUGAUUUUGAUGUUCACCUUGUUUUCUAAAGGGUUUAUUUAAACUUGGACAAAACGUCGUUGGACAAAAAACAUUAUCGGACCAA
rnacentral:lncRNA from 1 species